rnacentral:rRNA from 1 species
CUUGCCCGCUGGCGGCAGGCCUAACACAUGCAAGUCGAGCGAGCGGCGGACGGGUGAGUAAUGUCUGGGAAACUGCCUGAUGGAGGGGGAUAACUACUGGAAACGGUAGCUAAUACCGCAUACCAUCAGAUGUGCCCAGAUGGGAUUAGCUAGUAGGUGGGGUACUUGCUCACCUAGGCGACGAUCCCGAGCUGGUCUGAGAGGAUGACCAGCCACACUGGAACUGAGACACGGUCCAGACUCCUACGGGAGGCAGCAGUGGGGAAUAUUGCACAAUGGGCGCAAGCCUGAUGCAGCCAUGCCGCGUGUGUGAAGAAGGCCUUCGGGUUGUAAAGCACUUUCAGCGGGGAGGCGUUACCCGCAGGCGCCGCACCGGCUAACUCCGUGCCAGCAGCCGCGGUCCUAC